rnacentral:rRNA from 1 species
GGGGAAUUUUCCGCAAUGGGCGAAAGCCUGACGGAGUAAUACCGCGUGAGGGAGGAAGGCUCUUGGGUUGUAAACCUCUUUUCUCAGGGAAGAAUGAUGACGGUACCUGAGGAAUAAGCAUCGGCUAACUCCGUGCCAGCAGCCGCGGUAAUACGGAGGAUGCAAGCGUUAUCCGGAAUGAUUGGGCGUAAAGCGUCCGCAGGUGGCAAUGUAAGUCUGCUGUCAAAGCGUCUGGCUCAACCAGAUAAAGGCAGUGGAAACUACAUAGCUAGAGUAAGGUAGGGGUAGAGGGAAUUCCUGGUGUAGCGGUGAAAUGCGUAGAGAUCAGGAAGAACACCGGUGGCGAAAGCGCUCUGCUGGACCUUAACUGACACUGAGGGACGAAAGCUAGGGGAGCGAAUGGGAUUAGAUACCCCAGUAGUCCUAGCCGUAAACGAUGGAUACUAGGCGUUGCCCGUAUCGACCCGGGCAGUGUCGUAGCUAACGCGUUAAGUAUCCCGCCUGGGGAGUACGCAGGCAACUGUGAAACUCAAAGGAAUUGACGGGGGCCCGCACAAGCGGUGGAGUAUGUGGUUUAAUUCGAUGCAACGCGAAGAACCUUACCAGGGCUUGACAUGUCCGGAAUCCUCUUGAAAGGGAGGAGUGCCUUCGGGAGCCGGAACACAGGUGGUGCAUGGCUGUCGUCAGCUCGUGUCGUGAGAUGUUGGGUUAAGUCCCGCAACGAGCGCAACCCUCGUUCUUAGUUGCCAUCAUUAAGUUGGGAACUCUAAGGAGACUGCCGGUGACAAACCGGAGGAAGGUGGGGAUGACGUCAAGUCAGCAUGCCCCUUACGCCCUGGGCUACACACGUACUACAAUGCUAUGGACAAAGGGCAGCAAGCCAGCGAUGGCAAGCAAAUCUCGUAAACCAUGGCUCAGUUCAGAUCGCAGGCUGCAACUCGCCUGCGUGAAGUCGGAAUCGCUAGUAAUUGCAGGUCAGCAUACUGCAGUGAAUUCGUUCCCGGGCCUUGUACACACCGCCCGUCACACCAUGGAAGCUGGUCACGCCCGAAGUCGUUACCCUAACCUUUCGAGGAGGGGGACGCCGAAGGUAGGACUGGUGACUGGGGUGAAGUCGUAACAAGGUAGCCGUACCGGAAGGUGUGGCUGGAUCACCUCCU